rnacentral:rRNA from 1 species
UACGGAGGAUGCGAGCGUUAUCCGGAUUUAUUGGGUUUAAAGGGUGCGUAGGCGGUCGGAUAAGUCAGCGGUAAAAUUGCGGGGCUCAACCUCGUCGAGCCGUUGAAACUGGGUGCCUUGAGUGGGCGAGAAGUACGCGGAAUUCGUGGUGUAGCGGUGAAAUGCAUAGAUAUCACGAAGAACCCCGAUUGCGAAGGCAGCAUACCGGCGCCCAACUGACGCUCAGGCACGAAAGCGUGGGUAUCGAACAGG